rnacentral:rRNA from 1 species
UGGCUCAGAUUGAACGCUGGCGGCAGGCCUAACACAUGCAAGUCGAGCGGAAACGAYUUAUCUGAACCUUCGGGGAACGUUAAGGGCGUCGAGCGGCGGACGGGUGAGUAAUGCCUAGGAAAUUGCCUUGAUGUGGGGGAUAACCAUUGGAAACGAUGGCUAAUACCGCAUAAYGCCUACGGGCCAAAGAGGGGGACCUUCGGGCCUCUCGCGUCAAGAUAUGCCUAGGUGGGAUUAGCUAGUUGGUGAGGUAAUGGCUCACCAAGGCGACGAUCCCUAGCUGGUCUGAGAGGAUGAUCAGCCACACUGGAACUGAGACACGGUCCAGACUCCUACGGGAGGCAGCAGUGGGGAAUAUUGCACAAUGGGCGAAAGCCUGAUGCAGCCAUGCCGCGUGUAUGAAGAAGGCCUUCGGGUUGUAAAGUACUUUCAGUUGUGAGGAAGGGGGUGUCGUUAAUAGCGGCAUCUCUUGACGUUAGCAACAGAAGAAGCACCGGCUAACUCCGUGCCAGCAGCCGCGGUAAUACGGAGGGUGCGAGCGUUAAUCGGAAUUACUGGGCGUAAAGCGCAUGCAGGUGGUUCAUUAAGUCAGAUGUGAAAGCCCGGGGCUCAACCUCGGAACUGCAUUUGAAACUGGUGAACUAGAGUACUGUAGAGGGGGGUAGAAUUUCAGGUGUAGCGGUGAAAUGCGUAGAGAUCUGAAGGAAUACCAGUGGCGAAGGCGGCCCCCUGGACAGAUACUGACACUCAGAUGCGAAAGCGUGGGGAGCAAACAGGAUUAGAUACCCUGGUAGUCCACGCCGUAAACGAUGUCUACUUGGAGGUUGUGGCCUUGAGCCGUGGCUUUCGGAGCUAACGCGUUAAGUAGACCGCCUGGGGAGUACGGUCGCAAGAUUAAAACUCAAAUGAAUUGACGGGGGCCCGCACAAGCGGUGGAGCAUGUGGUUUAAUUCGAUGCAACGCGAAGAACCUUACCUACUCUUGACAUCCAGAGAAGCCAGCGGAGACGCAGGUGUGCCUUCGGGAGCUCUGAGACAGGUGCUGCAUGGCUGUCGUCAGCUCGUGUUGUGAAAUGUUGGGUUAAGUCCCGCAACGAGCGCAACCCUUAUCCUUGUUUGCCAGCGAGUAAUGUCGGGAACUCCAGGGAGACUGCCGGUGAUAAACCGGAGGAAGGUGGGGACGACGUCAA